ensembl:lncRNA
AGUGAUCAAGGGCAUAGGCUGUUCAAGUUACACCUAUACUGCGGGACUUCUCGUUUUCCUUUCACUUUCAGUUGAUGGUGCAGGCUAUAAAUAGGAAACAGGGGUACUGACUGUGACACAACUACACUCCACCAAAGAGAAUAAGAAUCUGUGACAAACUAGAAUGUCAAAAAAACUACAAUUAAGACACCAUGGACAUGAAAAUGAUGAAUUCCGUAAUAUACCCGAUACCAGACAUUUCAACCACGGAGAUGAGGAAAACGAUGAAUACUGUGAAAUACCUACCGAUCAGGGAGAUUAUGAAAAUGAUGAAGGAUGUGAUAUACUUUAUAACAAAAGUCUGCGUAAACAAAAGCCGAAAGUCAAGCUCACUGUUUCAAGUGACAUUAAGAAAUUACACAAAAAGGACACAUGGAAAUGGAAUAAGAGGCCAAGUGUGGAACUUGCAUCAGCCACUGCUUCAGGAAGCGGCUUCAUAGGCAUGAUUGACACAUUUGACAGACCAGCAGAUGCCAAUGCAGAAGUCACCUAUGCUCGAGCUGGAAAAUAUGCGGAAGCUUUUGAGAACAAACCAGGAAAGAGGAUUCCCAAGGCUGGAGUCUACGCAGAAACAGGACUUGGAUGAGCUAGUGCUGAGUUCAGUGUAUUUAGGGUAGAAGCCAAAGGCCCAAACGCCUCAGCUAGUGCUGAAGCCACUGCGGCUAGACUCGGGGCCGGAGCAAUGGCUCAGGCUGAAAUUGGCAGCGCGUCAGCUAGUGCCGGUCCAUUAGAUGUGAAAGUGGGACUCGGAGUUGACACGGGUGGAUAUAUUGGUUUAGGUGGGGUGGAGGUCAAAUUCCUGGGAACUGGAUUCUCAAUUGGUCGAAAAACCAGUAUAUCUUUUCUUAAUUCAGAACUGUCUUUUUCACUCUAAAAAUCUCACUUUUGACUGCUUCCCUUAGCGGAUCUUCUGCAUAUCUAUUUGGCACUGGUUUUCGAGCACUAACAUGCUGAAAACCCAUUAAGUAUUACUAAUAUUUAACCCACUUAAUUAGUCAUUCAGAACUCUUGUUCUCUAUGUGUGACUCUGGACCACAAAACCUUAAGUCUUAAGUCUUAAUUUUUUUCAAAAUUGAGAUUUAUACAUCAUCUGAAAGCUGAAUAAAUAAUCGUUCCAUUGAUGUAUGGUUUAUUAGGAGGACAAUAUUUGGCUGGGAUACAACUAUUUGAAAAUCUGGAAUCUGAGGGUGCAAAAAAAAAUCUAAAACAUUGAGAAAAUCGCCUUUAAACAUUGUCUAAAUGAAUCCUUAGCAAUGCAUAUUACUAAUCAAAAAUUAAGUUUUGAUAUAUUUAUGGUUGGGAAAUUUACAAAAUAUCUUCAUGGAACAUGAUCUUUACUUAAUAUCCUAAUGAUUUUUGGCAUAAAAGAAAAAUUGAUAAUUUUGACCCAUACAAUGUAUUUUUGUCUAUUGCUACAAAUAUACCCCAGAGACUCAAGACUGGGUUUGUGCUCCAGGUUCACAUAUUUAAAUAUGACUGUUAUUGUUGCAUAUCUCUUUUUUAUUAUCCAAUUAUAUCUCUGGACAAUUAUCAUAUUGUAAGCCUAUUUCUCUACAUUCCUGUCCCCAUUUAGGAUUAUGUAUCGUUAUCUGUCAAAACUUCAAAUAUUAAACUCACACUUGGGUGUCUAAUUUGGUCUGAUAUAUAAUAUUAAGUUUUGUUUCUCACAUUUCUGCUAUUCUUUCAUUCGAGCUGGUUUGUCAACCUCUUUAUUAUUACUAUGAGCUAUUGCUGUGUUUCCUUUAGAGUGGUUAGUGUUUAAUAGUGACGUCAAUAACUCUUAAUAUUUCAUGAAUCAUCUUAGCUAAAUCCGCAGGUUUAGUUUAUUGACCUUUCAGUUUGGUAAAAUGCUCUCUCAAUUUAAUUGUUUUCAUUUUAGAGUCUAUUAAAACCUGUUUCUACUGUACAUAUUUAGUGUCUGUUAUUGGCAUGCAAGGUAAGAUUUCAUCUCUAAUCAAUAUCUCUUGUGGCUUCUGUGGUAAAAAGCUGUGUAAUAAGUGGUAUGACUGUCCUGUAUCCCUAAAAUGUUCAUCUAGUUUGAACUUGCUGCUUAGUAGCAACGGCUUUCUUCACGGAAGCUUUUUGACUGUAAUUCACUGUAAAACAAGAGCAGUACAUGACUGUGAUGUUAGCAUCAUUCAGUAAUUUGUAAGAAAAUGACAGCAUGCAUUAAUUUCACAAUCAAUUUCUGACUAAAGUAUUUUUUUAAAAUAAUAUUCUUUAAUCCUGUAAAUCCUUGCAAUUUGUUACAGUGUAAUAUUGUAAAAUAUUAUUACAAAUUAUGUAUUUUUUUAAUAUGUUGUAAAAUGUAAUUCAUUCUUGUGAUGUGCAGCUAUAUUUUCAGCAUCAUUACUCCAGUCUUCAGUGUCACAUGAUCUUCAGAAAUCAUUCUAAUAUGCUGAUUUGCUGCUCAAGAAACAUUUAUCAUUAUUAUCAAUGUUGAAAACAGCUGUUCUUCUUCAUAUUUUUGUAGAAACUAUACCAUUCAAAAGUUUGAAGUAAGAUUUAAUUAAGGAAAAAUAAUACUUUUAUUCAGCAAGAAAUUGAUCAAACUAUGAUGUUUAGAAUAAUACAAAAGAUAUCUAUUUCAUAUAAAUGCUGUUCUUCUGAACCCAUUCAGCUGUGGAUGCUUCAACUCUUUUCAACAGCACUUUAAAAAAAUAAAUCAUAAUAAUAUUUUACAUAUUCAAGUUAAUUUUAUGUUAUAUACUAAUGCACACCUGAGCUUACACUUUGGAUUUUUUGGAAAAUAUUAAUGACAGUGUCAAUUCUCUGAUUAAGCUUCAUCAUUGGAAGUAAUUAGACAAUAUUCAUUCACGAGGAAGUGUAACAAUGUCAAUUUGUAUAAAGUUAUGAUUAUAAACUUUAGGGUGUUGCAGAAAAAAAGCAUUUCUAUAUCUUAAAUGUCAGAGAUUUUCCCACAAGUCUUCAGCGGUUGGAUGACGAUGAUAAGAACAGACUCAACAUUCAGAAAGAAAAUGAAAGCAUAAAACGUCUUCCUCAUUUUUCUUUCUUUUUCUUUUAAACAAGAACAUUUUUUAUUUGUGAUUUGUUCCUAGCAUAGCAACAUUUACCAAAAUUGGAUACUACAAACACUGUUUGCUAAUCAAUAUUUAUAUGUGAAUAAAAGCCUAUAAAUAAAUCAUAUCAAGUUAAUCAAGUUCAUCAUAUAAAUUGUUUAAUCCAAGUCUUCUCUUCAGAAAACUUGAAUUAAACCACUCAAUUCACAUGGAUUUAUUUUACAAUCUCUUUAUGAACUUUUUGAAGCAUCAAUUUUGGGUGAAUAGAUUUUCAGUGGAGGGACAGAAAUCUCUCAGAUUUUAAUUAUAUAUUUUGGGCUGCAGGAUAAAUCGCAUGUGAUUGUCAAGAGCAUCUCAUCAGUAAAGCUGGUUCCGUGAUUAGUAGUAAAUCUCCAUCACUGCUUUCAGAUGGAGGGGCCUUAACUACACAGAGCUGUAAUUCACUGACAAGCUACGCAAUAUCACGUUCAUAAUCAGAUGAAUCGCAUGCGAUAGCAAAUGCGAUAUUGUUCUACAACUGAAGCAAUUAGCAUUUUGCCAAAUGUUUUUGCUUUGCCCACUAUUAUAAAAUCAAUUGCUAAUUCAGUUUAAUCUAAUGUACUUUAUCGCAUAUUUAAACCUUCUCCUGGGCAUAA